UACAGAGGGUGCAAGCGUUAAUCGGAAUUACUGGGCGUAAAGCGUGCGCAGACGGUUGCGUAAGUCAGAUGUGAAAGCCCCGGGCUCAACCUGGGAAUUGCAUUUGAGACUGCGUAGCUAGGGUGCGGAAGAGGGAAGCGGAAUUUCUGGUGUAGCGGUGAAAUGCGUAGAUAUCAGAAGGAACAUCAGUGGCGAAAGCGGCUUCCUGGACCAGAACUGACGAUCAGGCACGAAAGCGUGGGGAGCAAACAGG
rnacentral:rRNA from 1 species